UGCAUGAUGAUGGAAAAUUUCUUCACUUUGACCUGACUUGCUUGAUUGAAGAAAUUCAGCUGUCUGACA
ensembl:snoRNA